rnacentral:rRNA from 1 species
AUUGAACGCUGGCGGCAUGCCUAACACAUGCAAGUCGAACGAGUGGCGGACGGGUGAGUAAUGUCUGGGAAACUGCCUGAUGGAGGGGUAUAACUACUGGAAACGGUAGCUAAUACCGCAUACCACUAUAUGUGCCCAGAUGGGUUUAGUGUGUGGGUGGGGUAACGGGUCACCAAGGCGACGAUCCUCAGCUGGUCCGAGAGGAUGACCGGCCACACUGGAACGGGGACACGGUCCAGACUCCUACGGGAGGCAGCAGUGGGGAAUAUUGCGCAAUGGGCGCAAGCCUGAUGCAGCCAUGCCGCGUGUAUGAAGAAGGCCUUCGGGUUGUAAAGUACUUUCAGCGGGGAGGCGUUACCCGCAGAAGAAGCACCGGCUAACUCCGUGCCAGCAGCCGCGGUAAUUC